rfam:Hordeum vulgare subsp. vulgare, WGS project CAJW01000000 data, contig: morex_contig_65831
UUACUACUUCCUUCAUUUCAAAAUUCUUGUCUUAUAUUUGUCAAUAUAUGAAUGUAUCUAGUCAUAUUUUAUUAUUUAGAUAUAUUCAUUUCUAGACAAACCUAAGACANNNAUUUUGGGACGGAGGAAGUAUUAA